GAUUUCUGGUAGACUCUGCUGGCCCGGUCCUUCACGGGACUGAGUGCCGGUACGGGUCUGUCAUCAUUCUAGGGAGCCUUGCCUGCCAUUCACUUGGCUGGGCAUGUUUUGCGAACUAGAUCUUUUACUUUGAAAAAAUUAGAGUGUUUAAAGCAGGCUUACGCGAUGAAUACAUUAGCAUGGAAUAAUAAUAUAGGACUUAGGUUCUAUUUUGUUGGUUUCUAGGACCGAAGUAAUGAUUGAUAGGGAUAGUUGGGGGUGCUAGUAUUCAGUGGCCAGAGGUGAAAUUCUUGGAUUCACUGAAGACUAACUACUGCGAAAGCAUU
rnacentral:rRNA from 1 species